UCUUUCUUACGAAAGCAGUCUCAUCUGACACAUAUAACAGACGAUAGGGGUUGCGCUCGUUAAUCCACUUAAGGAAACCAUUCACAUGACGAGCUGACGACAGCCGUGCAGCACCUGUCCAGCACCCUCGAAGGCGACUCCGUUUCUGGAGCUUGCAGCUGGAUUUCAAGCCUUGGUGAGGUUCCUCGCUUAGAGUCGAAUUGAACCACAUGUUCCACCGCUUGUGCAAAUUCCCGGCUAUUUCUUUGAGUUUUAAUCUUGCGAUCGUACUUCCCAGGCGACACACUUAACGCGUUGGCUUCGCCACUGGAAGGGUCGAUGCUCCCAAUAGCUAGUGUGUAACGUUUAGGGCGUGGACUA
rnacentral:misc_RNA from 1 species